AAGAGUAGUUGUCAGCCUGCACAAGCUAUUUUUCCUCUGAAACCGUGCCUAACAAUCUGAACAAGCCCCAGCUUGUUUUUGUUUUGAAUGGACGUGAAGGGAAGUGGUCAGAAUGGAGAAGAAACUACAGAAAACCAGCAACAUGAAAGCCCAGGGAUAUUUCUCUUUCUUAUUUCACUCAAAAAAGAGACAUUUAACAUGGAUCACAGUAGGGAUGAGUCAUAAGCUUAAGAAUUGAGGUUACUAGAUAAUUUUCUUCUUGAAAUUCACAACUGUUCCUUUGCUUUGUAGUACUGAGACCCAUUGCCCGUUGCUGAGUGGCACAGUUUUUGAUCGUUCCCUGUCUCACACCCAGCCAACUGGAACUGGCAGAAGCCGAUAAACCACAGCAUUUCUGCCCUGUACAUGUCUUGUUCCCCAGCUCCUGUCCAGUUCUUCAGUUGGCUGAUCUCGUACGGUGGGCUUUAAACUAGCUUCGCUGGGGGAAGGGGCUGCUUCGAGUGGAGAGGAUGCUUCACCAGCAUGCAGAGUGACAAGAGGAAGGGAAGCCCAGGUAAGCAUCAACGUCCAGGGAGCAGGGGGCCACAACUCUCCUGGGAGUGGGAGGGAGGCACGUGCACCCUCAGAAGGCCUCAGGUGCCUCUACACUAAUGCUCAUAGUAUGGGGAGUAAGCAGGAGGAACUAUGCCUCCUGAUUGCGAGUAAGAACCCAGACUUAGUAGGGCUCACAGAAACCUGGUGGGACGCUACCUAUGACUGGGUGGUGGGCAUUCAGGGAUACACCCUAUAUAGAAGACACAGGACAGAGAGGAAAGGUGUGGGGGUUGCACUCUAUGUCAAAGAGCACCUCACAUCAUCAAGGAUUAGCUUCGGGUUAGAGGAGGGUCUGGCAGAGACACUAUGGGUCAAACUACAAGGGGGGUGUGGUGAAAGGGACCUUACAGUGGGUGUCUACUACAGACCACCCAACCAGGGGGAAGAGCUAGACCAGGACUUCUCCAGUCAGCUUAUGGAGGCGGUUAGGUCAAGGGAUGUUAUUGUCAUGGGUGACCUAAACUACCCAGACAUUUGCUGAGAGGAGCAGACAGCCAGGUCUGACCGCUCGUGUAGGUUCCUGGCUGUAUUACAGGACCUCCACCUUAUCCAGGAAGUGCACAGUCCCACUAGGGGUAAUGCCUUGCUGGACCUGGUCCUGGCCACGGGGGAUGACCUGGUGAGGGGACUGGGCAAUAGCGAUCAUCACCUGCUGGAUUUCAUUAUCCAACACCAAAGCUAAAGCCCUUGACUUCAGAAGGGCAAACUUCAAUGAGCUUAGGAAACCAGUGGGGGAGGCACUGAGGGCCCAGAAGGUAGAGGAGAUGGGAGUCUAUGAGGAAUGGCUGUACCUUAAGGGGGCAAUCCUCCAGGCCCAAAGGAUAACAGUCCCUGAGAGAAGCAAGGUAGGUAAGAGUGCUCAGAAACUCCUUUGGCUCAGCAAGGGCAUUCAGGAAUGCCUGAGGACUAAAAGAGGCGUUCAACCAGUGGAAGGGAGGAACUAUCACCAAGGAGGAGUACUUCUCCUUGGCCCGGGAGUGUAGGAGGGCUAUUAGGAAGGCCAAGGCAGAGAUGGAACUCAGGCUAGCGUCCAGGAUUAAGGACAACAAAAAGUCUUUUUUUCAAGUACAUUGGGAGCAAGAAGAGGGCACCAGGCAAUGUAGGGCCCCUGCAAGACACAAACAGUAAUCUUGUGGCUAUGCCAGACAAGAAAGCUGAUAUUUUUAACAGUUUCUUUGCCUCUGUUUUCUUGAACAGGGACCAGGACAUCCCACCUACCAGAGAUAGGGACAAUCUUGGGGAUAGCUCUAUCAGGCCUUCAGUCAGCACAGAGGUAGUUAGGGAUCUUCUGGAAGGGCUAGACAUUUUUAAAUCUGCAGGUCCAGACACCCUCCACUCAAGGGUGUUGAGGGAGCUGGCAGGGGUCAUUGCAGAGCCCUUAGCCCAGCUGUAUGAGCAUUCGUGGUCAUCUGGCCAGGUGCCGGGGGAUUGGAAACUGGCUAAUGUGGUCCUAAUUUUCAAGAAGGGGAAGAAGGAGGACCCAAGUAACUAUAGGCCCUUAAGCCUCACCUCGGCGCUCAGGAAGAUCUUGGAGAGAAUCUUCAAGGAGCACAUCUGUGGGGGACUUGCAGGGGAGAUCAUGCUUAGGGGUAAUCAGCAUGGGUUCAUCAAAGGCAGAUCCUGCCUGAUGAACCUGAUUGUCUGUUAUGACCAAGUAACUAAAUCCUUGGAUGAUGGUGUCACCGUAGUCUUUCUAGACUUUAAGAAGGCUUUUGACACUGUCUCUCACCCCAUCCUCAUCAAUAAAUUAAGCGACUGUGGCAUUGAUGCCUGCACAGUUGGAAUGGGUAAAAAAUUGGCUGAUGGGGCGCACCCAGAGAGUAGUGGUGGACGGGUUGUACUUAACCUGGUGAGAUGUGAGCAGUGGGGUACCCCAGGGCUCAGUUCUCGGGCUCACACUGUUUAACACCUUCAUCAGCGACUUGGACAAGGGGGUAGAAAGCACACUGUCCAAAUUUGCUGAUGACACUAAGAUGUGGGGCAAGGUGGACACACCUGAAGGGAGAGAGAGGCUGCAAAUAGAUUUAAAUAGACUACAAAAGUGGGCAUAUGAGAAUAGGAUGGGGUUCAACGUAGACAAAUGCAGGGUGCUGCACCUUGGGAGAAGGAAUCCACAGCAUACAUACAGGCUGGGGAGUUCCCUUCUUGAAAGCACAGAGGCAAAAAGGGAUCUUGGAGUCAUUAUUUACUCCAAGAUGAACGUAAGCCGCCAAUGCCAGACCGCAGCCAGCAAGGCCAGCCAUACCUUGUCAUGCAUCCAAAGGUGCAUCUCAAGCCGGUCCAGAGAGGUGAUACUCCCCCUCUAUGCAACUUUGGUCAGGCCGCAGUUGGAGUACUGCAUCCAGUACUGGGAGAUGCACUUCAAAAGGGAUGUGGCCAGCCUGGAGAGGGUUCAGAGGAGGGCCACCCGCUUGGUGAGAGGGCAGAACGACAGGCCCUACGAGGAGAGACUGAAGGACCUAAACCUGUUCAGCCUCAGCAAGAGGAGGCUAAGGGGGGACCUAGUGCUGCCUACAAGCUCAUCAGGGGAGAUGAACAGCAAAUAGGCAGAGCCCUAUUCUCCCCAGCACUACCUGGGGUGACAAGGAACAAUGGUAACAACCUGAUGGAGAAUAGGUUUAGGUUAGAGAUCAGAAGGCAAUAUUUUACAGUUAGGGUGGCCAAAAUCUGGAACCAACUCCCCAGGGAAGUGGUCCUCGCCCCUACUUUGGGCAAAUUCAAGAGGAGGUUGGACGAUCACCUGUCUGGGGUCUUGUGAACACAGCAUUCAUUCCUGCCUGUGGCAGGCGGUCAGGCUAGAUGAUCUGUUCAGGUCCCGCCUGACCCUAGCUACUAUGAAACUAUAAAGAAUCCAUCAACAAUAGCCUAACAGAAGGCAUCAUACUGAGAGACAGUCAAAACGGCCAACAUGGCUUUGUUGUGGGUAGGUCAUGCCUGACCAACCUUGUCUCCUUCUAUGACCAGGCGACAUGGCAUCUGGACAGGGGAGGAGAGGUUGAUGUCAUUUACUUGGAUUUCAAAAAAGCCUUUGACUUGGUCUCCCAUGAUGUCCUCAUAACAAAAUUGUGGAACUGUGGCCUCAACAAACUUACAGUUCAAUAGCUGGGGAACUGGCUCCAUGGUGGGACCCAGAGAGUGAUAGUCAACUGUUCGGGCCGGGGGCGAGCCGGGCCCGUCUUUGCGCACGCGGGCUGCGGCCAGCAGCCCGGGCACGCGGGGCCGGAGAGGACCGUGCGGCAGCAAGGCACGCAUGGGCUAGAAUUAGUCACAGAGGUGUAAUGGUUUAUUUAAAGAUUAUUUACUUAUACCCAAGAUGGUCGCGGUGUAGGCUGGACAGUUUCCAGGUGCAGCUCCGCUUAAAUCCUCGUUGGAGGACUACGACAAAUUCGGUUCUUUGGCCCCGGAGUUGUUAAGGCUCCACGGGUUCGGCAAUUUCUUUCCCACGGAGUUGUCGAAGCUCCGUGGGUUUGAAUCUUGAGUAUAUAGGAAAGGGAUACGUCUAGGAUUGCACUCAGCAACGGGGAGAGGCCAGAGGCUGUUUAGACCUCUGAUGCCUGCUUAAGAAAUGCGUUGGGUCCAUGAGGAUCCGCAGCGCUUAGAGAUCUUCACACAGAGUGAAGUCUCCUCCUCCUGGUGUUCGUGGAGUCCUCCAACUUGGGCGGAAACCACACAAGCUCUUUAUACUGCUAGCAAGCCAAUCGCUAGCCGCCAUGUGUGCAUAAUUUAGAAUCGGCCAAUAAUGUGGCAUGAAUCUUCAUACAAAUUGUGGGAACUCCUUUGCUCUGUGCAUUUCUGAGAUGCAAAAGAAAUGCACCAUGCAAAGAAAGCUACAAAUUGGCGGGAAAUUCCCCAUUGCACCGGAGUUCUCUCCUGCAGCAGAGAACUCCACUGUGCAAGGAAGCUGCAAUUUAGCGGGAACAUAAUUUAGCGAUGCCAAAGCACACACAAACAAAAACUCACAACUUUGGGUUGUGACAUCAACCAAGCCAACAUGGUGCAUAGUGACCAGUGACAUCCCACAGGGUUCAGUACUCAGGCAAGUACUCUUUAACAUAUUCAUAAAUGACCUGGAUUUGGGUGUUACAAGCAGAUAAUACCAAAUUAUGGGGAAGCACAGUCACACUACAGGAUAGGCUUAGGAUUCAGGCCAACUUGGACAGGCUCACAAAGUGGAUGGAUCAAAACCUGGUAACUUUCAACAUAGAGAAAUGCAAGGUGCUCCACCUCAGGAGAAAGAACCCACAACAUACCUAUAGGCUCAUCAGUGCUACACUCAUUAGCACAAUGACCGAAAGAGACUUAGGGGUCAUGAUCAACCAUGAGAUGAAUAUGAGCCACCAAUGCAAUGCUGCAGCUGGCAAAGCAAAUAAAACUCUGGCUUGCAUCUACCAAUUCAUCUCAAACAAGACCCAAAUUAUCAUCCUUCCGCUUUAUUCGGCUUUGGUGAGGCUGCAACUGGAGUACUGCAUCCAGUUCUGGGUUCCACACUUUAGGAAGGACAUGAAGAAGCUUGAGAGACUCCAGAGGAGAGCCACACACAUGAUCAGAGGUCAAGAGAGCAGGCCUUAUGAGGAGAGGCUGAGAGGCAUGGAACUCUUCAGCUUUGAAAGCACAGGCCCAGGGGGGACUUGGUGGCAGUCUAUACGUAUAUCAGAGGCAUGCAUCAGGAUCUGGGAGAACAUGUGUUCACCAGGGCCCUCCAAGGGAAGACAGGGUCCAAUGGGCACAAACUGCUGGAAGACCAUUUUAGACUGGAAAUAAGGAAAAACUUCUUUAUUGUCCAAGUCUCCAGAGUCUGAAAUAGAUUCCCCCCAGAAGUAGUGCAAGCACCUACUCUGGACAUGUUCAAGAAGCGUUUGGAUGAUUAUCUUGCUAGGGUCAUCUGACCCCAGCUGACUUCCUGCCCUUUGGGCAGGGGGCUCUACCCAGUGAUCUCAUGAGGUCCCUUCCAGCCCUAAUGUCUAUGAAAUCUAAGAAAUCUUAGGUGCAGAAUUCACAAACAGGAGCAAGAAGAACUUACCAGUCAAUUUGCAUUACCAGUUAAGGAGCUCAAGCAGGAUUGAAUAGAAAUGCACUUAGAUUCCCAAGUACUAUUUAUACUCCAUAGAGGAGAAAUAGGAUUUGGGUCUUCAUCUUUAUGGUUGCCAGCAAAACCUUCAAAACAAACUGGGUGAGACCAAUGCAAUUUUACUAGAAGAAAGCCUUAAGUAAUAAACUCUGAGGACACACGACACAUUAACAUGGGUACAAUUUGCACUGGUUUUGAAGACAAGUAAGUCUCACAGCAUUUAGAGGACAUGAGACAACCAGCUAUUAAACGGCAGCUGUUGUAGUAAGCACUGCUACAGCCCUUUGUCACUCGGGGAGCAGCCUGUUUGCAUUGAUAGAAGCAGACUUGAAAUACUUCCACCAGUGCAACUGACACCAGUUUAGUUUUACCCUGAUUUUCCCCAGCAUCCCAGUAAAUUACACUGUCCCUAUCCACUGUGAGUCCACCUCUUGUUUACACUGCUGCAUGGGCAGGCUAUACCAGUGUAAAUGUGUCACGUAAGUAGGGUAAAUGUGAGACAUGAAUGACCCAUCUAUCUUCUGGGGGUGUUAACUCAACAAUGAUGCCGAUAUAAACACCACUACCAUCAAAACACAGAGCAAAAGAAAAGAAUCAUAUCACCACUCAUGAGUGGCAUCUCAUUUGGCUGGAACUCAGUUUGUAAGCAGAGACUGAAGAGUGACACUGCUUCUCCCCUGAACAUAGUCUGCUUUUAUAGUGGCUUAAUGAGUGAGACGUUACAGCUGUUGGGUUCCCUAGCCCUUCCUGCUGGAUGAACAAGAGGAAAUCAUUUGUUUUCUUCCCCUACUUAUGUUCCAUGAUGGUUCAGCCAUAGGGAUGGACUCAGAGCCCAGAGAAAAGAAUGGGGACAAGAGGGACAACUUCCAUACAUGCCCCAGGAAGCAGAAAGACUGAUGCUGCCCCAGCACAUUUUCCAUGCCAAAUUCCAAUGUAAGCUAUCUUUUUCUGUUGAAAAUUUAGAUUUAGGCAAAACUCCACUUUCUAAUGGGAAACUGUUGAGUUCUAAGCUUUUCUGACCAUACUCCCUAAAUAUGCCUCAUGAAGGAUAAGAGUGAAGAUAGGAAGGAAGCAGCUUGACCAAGGUUAUCUACCAAGUCAGUGCCACACCUGGGAACAGAACUUCAGUAUCCUGACUCCCGAGCUACUGUCCCGGCUGUUAGCCCAUGCUUCCUCUUCUUUCUUUUAUUGCUAACCUAAAUAAGACCAAGCAUAUUUCACCCAAGUUUGGCUGAUUUUUUACAUUUGGUCCUUUUUACUUAGUUCCCUCUCAAAGAUUCAAGUCACUAAACUGAAAUGACAUAGACCCACCUAACCAGCUGCUAGGAUUGUCAGUAGAUUAGUCUUACAUUGUUGAUACCAUCUCAUACCAUCUUAAUGAUACCCUGUUACAUUGCUGCAUAGCACAGGACUCUUGCAGUGUUAACACUUGGUCACUGAAAAGUAUAUAAAAGACUGGGUAGGGUGCCAAUUAUGCAUUAGUCACUAGUGUAAAAAUGAAGGGGAUUGAUUCUUCAUUAUGAUCUAAUAGCCUAAAAAAAUAUAACUAAAACCAGUAUUUGGAGCAAAGGACAGCACAAUGAAAUGCCAAUAGCUACAAUACACUAACGUGAAAACAGGAACAUUUUCUUUAAUCAGUGAGUGCCUUUUUAUUAUGCCCAAAUUGUCUUUUCAUUUAAAAAGUUUACCUUAAAAACUGAAGUAAAGGAGAAUGAAUGCCCGUAGUUUACAAGGGGCCUCUGAACUUUUAACCUCUAGACUCUUUGUUUAUCGGUUUUAAUUUGGCUCAGGUCAGCAGAGGCUAGAAGUCAUUAAUAUCUGAGCACCAUUCAGUAGAGAUCUGCUAAACCUUUUGUCCUAAACCCAACCUCAGCCAAGGUUCAGUAACCUUUCAGACAAACCUUCAAAGAACUUCAUGAGCAUCAGCAAACUAUUUAUUGCCUGGACUCAAAACCAUGAAAAAAUUGUCAGUUUGGCUUUGAUUUGGGGGUUGUUCAAGGUAAAAAAUAAUCAAAGCAGAAUUAUGAGGCACAAUGGGAGAAGCAAAUCUGCCAAAACCUGAAAAAAAAGUUAUUCAACCCUACUUGCCAAACAAAGGGUCAUAUUUUAUACAGCAGAGGCCUCCAUUAAAUGUGUUGGUAUCUGAAUAGAGCCUUGUGGACCUCUGACAAUAUCAAAUAAACAUCACAAUAGCUGUCACAAAUUGGCAUCCUGAUAAGAGAAGCCUUUCCACCUCGAUCAAUCAUCUUACCCUCAGAGGUGGCUCAUCUGAGGAUACAGGAAAUUGGCAAGCCCUUGAAACAUGUAAACUGUACCUAUCUUCUCUGUGCAUGCAUUCUCCAGAGCUAUCUGUCUACCCUCAUAGGAUUACAUUUUAAAAUAAAAGUUUUUCACUUCUCAGCCAAGCUUCAGACAAAAGUGCAUUUUUCCUUAAGUUUAAAACCUUGAAACUAGAGGUUAACAAUGAAAGCACUGACAGGCCCAUAACUGUAGUGGUGCUAGUAGGCACAAUAUACUAAUUUCUGCUCUAGAUAAAUCAAAUUUUAUGAUCUACACAAAAAAAGCAACCUGAGUUGAAGUGAUACAAAAGACAACUGUCUGGAUUCUAGUUCUUUAUCUCAUCCAUCUCAAAAUGUGCAGCACCAGCAUUGGCAAUUUGGGGCAAAGCAUUUUUUUCCCUGGCUUUCCCAUAACAGAUUCCUAUCUAAUGUCAUAAACCACUAGACAUUUGGCUGGUGAAGGAUUUUGUGGAGGAUUAACAAAAGAAUUGGAGCAUGUUCUAGACCUCCCUGACUCAUUUAAUUUUGUGUGUGUGUGUGUGUGUGUGUGUGUGUGUGGAACAUGAGGGAAAAAUAUGUAAAUCUUCAUGUUCCCCCUUUCAACAUACUUCUGCUGCAGACUUUUGCCAGCUGUUUGCUCUAUUCAACGCUUCCAGCCAGUUUACAACAAUUUAUGGUUUCAAAAAAGAAGAGAAGGGUAGAAAAUACAUAAUCGUUUGUUAAACAAUAAAACCCAACAUACUUCCAUGCAUUCCCAGCUUUCCCAGGCCAGGAAACCCUUGCAGUGGUAGGUUUCACAUAGACCUGGUUGGAAAUUUUCCAGGGAAGCAAAGUUUCAUCAGAAAAUGCAGUUCACUGAGCCAACUUCGGUGUUUUUUUAAACAUCUUGGGUGUGAGGCAUUUUUACUGAAUCCAAAGCAGGACUGGAAAGGAACCCUGUCCAGAUUAUCUGGGGAUUAUCCCUGGGCUAAGGACCCUGCUUUAGGAGGGAUCUCCCUGGAGAACCUGUCCCAGAGUCACAAACCCAAGAAGCAUGGGCUGCCUAGACCUAACACACUCUGCUUUCCAAGUCUGUCCCAGAACCAGAAAUAUGGAAACUCAGGGUCCCUAGCCCAGGCACAGACAAGACCUGGGGGCUGCCAUAGACCCUGGAACCUGAGAGCAUCCUGCAAGCACUAAAUAAAAUUGACAUUCUUGUCAUUUUCAGUUCCCUAUCUGCUUUAGCAGUGAAAAUAACAAGCAUAUCCAUUUUAUCAAGCAGCUGUAAGGGGAUUUCUGGUUUGUAGGGACUUUUUAAAAAAUUUGGUACCACUUAACUGAAACCAAAUAGAGAGAGAAAGAAACUGCUUUUUGGCCAGCUCUAGUUUUGUAGAAUCACUGCAGAUGAUUUUUCUGAAUACUCACAAUAAUUCCACGUGCUGCUAUCAUAAGUGUCACAGUCGCAGUACCUCAGUGCUCUUUUCAAAGUGGCAGCUUCUAGAGUCAUGUGAUUAUGACAAAUUCAUUGCCACCACCAUCAGCAAAAAAUACUUCUAGUGGUUCUUUUUUGGAAAGAAAACUUGAAAAUGUGAACCCUAAAAGCAUGAAAACUGGAAGGUAAAUGAAAAGAACCCCACAUCUGAUAUAUCUUUAAAAUCACAUGAUUCUGGAGAGCUCAGUUGAUGAUUUUUGAACACCUGGAAUUGCCAGGAAUGAAUAUAUAAACUAACUAUAUAGACAGAGUAAUCUCUCCAGCAUCCUCCUUACUAGCUGCUAAGAGCCACUAAAUCACUUAAUUGAGGCCCUGGGAGCAGAAUCCAGAAUCCUGUGAUAGGCACGUGGACUUCUUACACACUGGGGACAGCAUGCUGAGGAGGGAACUGACUUAAGUCAGCAUCUUCAGCAUGCAGCCAAGUAGCACUAGGUAAUAGGAAAUGUUGAGGGUAGGGACGAGUCCUAAAGAAAGAUCCAUUCCCUUGGGAUCCACAAGCUAGGGCCCUUAUCUGAAGAUAGGUACUUCUACACUUUUCUUUGCAGAACUAAGCACAGCUCAGUCUUUGCUUUUGAAACACAGCUGGUAGUAUCAUCCGCCCUUUAUAUUACAGCCCUCCCUUCUACCAGCUAGAUGUAGAGUAGGGCAACAGACCUCUCCAAUGGCUAUGGCCAAUUCUUCCCACUCAACUAGGAUUAGAAAAGAUAUCCAGCCAAGCCACCAGGUUCCUCACAAUGUAUUUACUGUUCUGAGAUAGACUUUCAAUCUCUGUUUUUCAAAAAUCUACUUGGUAACAAUCUUCCCUGCACUCUCUGCUCAAUUUAGAUUAUAACCAAUUUGGGAAAUGGAAAGGGAGGGGAGGUCUAUCCCCUUAAAGGUAGGGGACAAGAGAAGCAGGCAGACUCUGUUCCUUGGAAUGGUCCCUUUACUUUUCCAGGGAAAACCCCAAGGCCUAGCUACUGGCAAAAGCAUACUGUGACAGAGACAUGAAGUGGUCCAGUAGGAUUAGCAAGAGUUGAGGGGAUUGAUAUGGUAUGGGCAUUUAAGGCAAACAGUUGCCCAGAGGUUGCAGGUUUCAGACCACACCAGAAGUGCUCACUACAUGGUCCCUGUCAGAUUCCAACGAAUCUGUGAAUUACACUAAAUACCUGAUCACAAGGAAAAAGGAAAGGAAGCUAUUGUUGAGGAAAGCACAUACUAUUGCUUAUUUAAGGAACAGAAUCCUUGUAGUAAAAGAUGGGGUGAGGUUAACCUCUCAACCAGCCAGCCAGACAAACCCAGGGAAGGUGGGCAACGUAUUUUCAUUCUCCAACACUAUAACCUGCAUUAGUGAGCUUUUCCAACUCUAAGCUGAAUGGAAAAGAUGGUUUAUUUGAACUGAAGACUCCUCUAAAGUGGGUUGGACUUUAGGGGACAAGAAGAGAUUGAAACUUAAAGCAUCUGCACACAUGCAAGCACCACAGUACUGGGCGCUUUGAAAAGCAAUUAAUCAAGUCUGCUCUGAAGCAGCGGAUCUCCAGCAUGUCCAAGAACUAAAAGGCACGUGUAUAAAUGUCAUUUAAUCAAUACUUCUUCCUAAAAGGGGAUCUUGUUCUAAAUAAUCUGGUCUGAGGAUAAAUUAUUGCAGGUCCCAAGUGGAAAUUGAGGGCAGAAGGCUUGAAGGGCCUUUCUUUUUCUGCCACCAGAGUGUAUGCCUGGGCAUGGGUGACUAGUGCUGUCUUAGUCGGGGCGGGGGCACAUGCCCCCACAGUGACCAGUCAGUGACUUGGGGGGGGCCUCUCGCAGCCAAUCUCACUGACCGGGGGUGGGGGGGUCUGGCCACUUCCAGAAGUGGCUGCAGCCACAUCUGGGAGCACCAUGGUGCUCCACUCACCAGCCGGCGCUUGCAAGGGGGGGCAUUAUAUCUUGUAUAAGGCAACAGAUAUUCCAUUAUAUACUAUACAGAGCAAGCAACUUAAAGCUCUCAUGCACACCUCUGUAUAUGUUUGUACUGGAGAGUGUUGUAGAAUGUCAGCAACAAAUUCCAGGGUUUAAGCAUGAUUUAUUGCUCUGUUCUGUUCUCAAACAGUAGUCAAAUGAUCAGUUCCCUGCUCUGUGACCUUCUUCAUCACCUAUUUGCUGCAAGAAACUUGUGGGCAGAUAUCUUAAUUAUUUGUUCUCCUACUAUGUAUGCAGUAGUACUAGUCUUUGCUCCAUUUAGGAAACAGAGAUCAAGGAUUAGUGCACACUUUAGUUAUAAAUGUUUAGUGUUUAAACAUUUGCAUCCUGGAAUCAGAGAUCCCUCUAGUCUCUCUUUCCUGGUAAAGCCAGCACCUUAAAAUUGUUGUUUGCACAGGCAUUUUCAACAUGAGGUGACUAUGAUAGACACAUUGGUAACAAUGAUGUGACAUUUUUAGUGUCCACUCAUGGCUGAAGCUUCUAAUUUGUGACUUAAAUGUUAGGAACAGCAGAUGUGUUGUUACGGCUGGUGAGUCUGAUACCCUGAACUUAACAACUAUUGUAGAUAGAGCUGGUAUUUAGUUUGCAGUCAGAUAAGACAUUGGCGCAUGACAUCAUAAGAACUGAGAAGUGAUGCGCAAAUUAAAAUGUUCUCAAACUACACACUUCAGCAGCAAUGUUUCAAUUAAAAGUUCUGAUUUUUUUUAAUGAGAGCUUCCCCUGGGCUUUUUUAAACAGUCUUUUGUCCCCAUGUUUAAAUAAAACAGGAUUCAUAAUAUACCUGCUGUAUGCACAACUGAUGCCAGUUUCUAAUGUAAAGGCCAGUGCACCACCUAGCCAGUACCUACUCCCCCUGUGUGAUGGGCUAGCUGGCAGUGACCUAGCCCAGGGAUUUUGAAAGGGCAAAAGAUGAUUGGAGGACUUGGGAUUCCCUUUCCUCACCAAUCAGGUCCAGAGAUUCACCCCUCAUGUCCCCUGAUUGGCCCCUUGGGUCACCUGGAGGGGGAUAAAAGAGGCAGCAUGGCUGACUCAAGAGGAGAUCAGUGAGAGAUUAUGAGCAAGGAGCUUCGAAGAGCUGGCAAGAGCUGAGCUAACGGGGCGGAAGCAGUUGCCCCAGAAGAGCCUGAAGGAGCAGGACCUGCGGGCAGCAGUGGGACCCUCAGCAGCACGGUGUGUGGCCGGCAAGAGAGGCAUCCUGCUGGGCUCCAGGAUCCCCUACAAGAAGCUGUGGCCAGCAGGAGGAUCUGAGCAGUGAGCUGAGGGGUCCCAGCUUGGCUUCCAGCUGCUCCAAUCAGAGACCAGGCAGCUCAACAUGAGGCCGGGGCUCCAGGAAGGUCAAGACCCCUAGCAGCCUGGAGCAGUACCAGCAGUGGUGACUGUGUGGCAAGUGUUCUUGCCCACUAUGUGGAAGAUCUGAGUUCAAUUCCCAGCUUUGGUGACUUGGGGAGAGUGAGCUAACAAAGAGAAAUUCCUCUUGCAGGAGCCAUUGUGUUUUCCCCCCUUUCUCCCACUCCAGUGACCCAGGCCCUAUAUUUCUUUGUCCUUUGACAUUUUGUAUUUUGUGCCUUUUUAUAUUUCCCCAACCAGUAUUGUUUGCUCUGUUGUUUGUGUUUUGUGUUUUAUAUUUUGUUAACCCUGUUUUUUGUCAAUGAUUGUAAGUGUCUAACCUUUGUUGAAUCCUGCCCCUUGGGGCAUUGUCAUGUCCACUAUACCCCCCUGAUUAUGCCUGUUAUGUUCCCUCAUUAAAAGGUAUAUGGUUAAGU